ensembl:misc_RNA 7SK 7SK RNA
GGAUGUGAGGGCGAUCUGGCUGCGACAUCUGUCACCCCAUUUAUCGCCAGGGUUGAUUCGGCUGAUCUGGCUGGCUAGGCGGGUGUCCCCUUCCUCCCUCACCGCUCCAUGUGCAUCCCUCUCGAAGCUGUGCUCUCAGUCGAAGAGGACGACCUUCCCCAAUAGAGGAGGACGGUUCUUUGGUCAAGGGUAUACGAGUAGCUGCGCUCCCCUGCUAGAACCGCCAAACAAGCUCUCAAAUAUGUGGCUAGGUAAUAGCCUUGGCCCAAAUUCUUACUGAUCACCCUAUUUCACUCUGAUUUCAGAAGGUCUUAUG